rnacentral:tmRNA from 1 species
GGGGCUGUAAGGGUUUUGACGGGGAGUUGUGGUUGCGUGAGUUGCGAGCCGAGGAUGUCAUCUCACCUCGUAAAACAUGGUGGCAACGUUCAAACGCGAACGUACAAACAUUAAUUGCAGACGCGCGUGAAAUGGGUCUCGAUGCCUUCAAGCAAUUGAUCGGCUAUCAGCCCGCUCCCGCUCUGCAAGCUGCUUAAUAACUAAGUAGCACGUCUUCCGAAUUCGCCGAUAGGUUCGGGUCAAGAUGUUAUUUUGUCGGAUACCUGGCUGGUCCCGCCGGUUGGCAAGCCGGGGAAACAAUAAAGCGGCUAGUCCGGGAGCCUCCUCGUUUAAGGAAAAGUUCCGGAUGAAAUAAUAAUUGAAACUACGCUCGUAGUGGCUCCCGUAAUUGCCUUUCCGGACAGGGGUUCGACUCCCCUCAGCUCCACCA